GGCGCUCCAAAGCUCGGGGAGUGGUGGUCUCCCUUUCCUGGAGUCAUUUGUGGGAGUUAGGGUCUUAUCCUGAUCUUUCCUCGUCCCCCGCUCCCCCGUCCUCCGAGGUGGCAGCUGCGUAGAUCGGGGGUCAUACUACACAUCGAUCGGGACCUUAGUCAUGUUGUGAUAUGGACAGCUUUCUUACCAGUACUCAUAAGCCUGCUUCAUUUUUUACGUGGCGGCACCACUGAGUGGUUGACGAAGUCUGGAACGUUUUUUCUUAGAGUUCCAGAAUUGAGACUGAAGUGUACCCAGAGACACAAAGAAAUACAGAAGUCCAGAAUGAUCAAAUGAGA
rnacentral:lncRNA from 1 species